CAUCCAGGUUACAAAAAUAAUCCAUUUACCGAAAAUAACGCUCCUCCUCUGCAGCUUGCUUCUUUCCAAAGGCACCACCUGCCUCCCUCACGGAGCCUCCUCCACCGCCUCCCUUUCCUGCUCCUUUGCCGAGCUCACCCAGCUGGAGAGGGGGAGAGAUAUCAAAUCACAGCUCGGGUCUCCCACAGAAGAAAAAAAAGUCACUGAGGCAGAUCAGGCAACAGAGGGCACACAGACAGCAGAGCUGGGGACAGGUGGGCAGGGACUGAUUGGCAGAGACAGGGAGUCUCAGGAGACAGACUGUGAAGGUGGUGAAAGGGAAAGAGACAAGGAGAGUGACUUCAGAGGACCGUGUCACAGCCACGGCAGGACCAGGUGUCAACCUUGUUGCCAGCAGCACCAGUAUAGGGGACAGUGGCACGGCCACGGCAGGACCAGGUGCCAACCUUGUUGCCAGCAGCACCAGUAUAGGGGACAGUGGCACAACCAUGGCAGGACCAGGUUUCAACCUUGUUGCCAGCAGCACCAGUAUAGGGGACAGUGGGACAGCAUUGUCCAGUUACCUCAGUGAUGGCACAAAACCAUAUCAGCCACACCCACAAUUUAUAGAACCGCAAACUCUUGCCAACAGAGUGUCGAGGUUUCAAGAGAUGGUUUUGCGAUUUCCCCUAGCUACAUUAUAAUCCAUCAGUAAAAGCAGUUUUGUGUUUUCACUGUAGCCAAGGGGCUACUUUUAGUCAGGCUCAUUGAGGUAGUAUGUACAUGUAGAUAUGGUUAGAGUGACUAUGUAUAUAUGAUGAACAGAGAGUAACAGUAGCGUAAAAGAGGGGGUUGGCGGGUGGCACACAAUGCAGAUAGCCCGGUUAGCAAAUGUGCGGGAGCACUGGUUGUUCGGCCCAAUUGAGGUAGCAUGUACAUGAAUGUAUAGUUAAAGUUGUGUUGUUGUGCGUUAAUAACAUUUAGACUACGUUACCCAGCAGGCUAUGCGGGUGGGCAGGUGGUUGAAUAAUGCCUUCCAUGGCUAAACAAGGAGUUUUUUAGCUGAAGUAUAUGUUCAUUAAAAGUAGUUAUACUUACGCCCCGGUUUGUCAUUAUACAAGGAACAAACAUAACCAAAGUGACAGCAGUAGCGCAAAGAGUGGUUGGGGGUAGCCAUUUGAUUACCUGUUCAGGAGUCUUAUGGCUUGGGGGUAAAAAAUGUUGAGAAGCCAGCCAGACAUUUUGUAUAUGUUUUAAUGACUCUAAAUAGUUUCUAAAAUAGAUUUUUUUUAUUAAGAAAAGGGGCUUUUUCUUCAAAUUUUGAUUUUGUGUAUGAAAUUUUUCCUCAUGAGCAAACAUCAGCAUAAAAAGUACCACAGUGUGAGUCAUUAUACCCAUAAAACCUAACGGUCAAACAGGGAAAUGGUUGCAAUCGUUUUUCACAUAGGGGAUUUUAGAAACUCAUAAAAUAAGGGCUCUGUUUUCUGUAGGCUUACACUAGCGUGAUGUUUCGAUAACUGUAAAUCUCUCUAGGACAAGGUGACUUUUAUCAAUAUAUUUGCCUGUAUUUACCCCCCCCAAAAAAAUGAAAUGCUAAUGUGGCUAUCAUAAAGAACUACAAAAUGCCAUGAUCUGGAUGAGGGUGCCAAUGUAAUGUAGCUACAUGUAGUUAUUCAUAAAUUAGCUAAAUUUCUUUAAAUGGACAAUUCUGUGAACUGUCUUGUGAAAUUUUCAAUUGUUGCAGGUGGUUAGAGCGUUGGACUAAUAACCGGAAGGUUGCAAGAUCGA